rnacentral:rRNA from 1 species
UACGUAGGGGGCGAGCGUUGUCCGGAAUUACUGGGCGUAAAGAGCACGUAGGCGGGAACUUAAGUCAGGUGUGAAAGACCGUGGCUCAACCACGGGUAUGCAUUUGAAACUGGGUUUCUUGAGUAUCAGAGGGGAAAGCGGAAUUCCUGGUGGAGCGGUAAGAUGCGCAGAUAUUAGGAGGAACACCAGUGGCGAAGGCGGCUUUCUGGACUGUAACUGACGCUGAGGCGCGAAAGCGUGGGGAGCAAACGGGAUUAGAUACUCGGGUAGUUCCUGAG